rnacentral:rRNA from 1 species
UUAGGAAUCUUCCACAAUGGGCGAAAGCCUGAUGGAGCGACGCCGCGUGAGGGAUGAAGGCCUUAGGGUUGUAAACCUCUAAAAGAGGGACGAUAAUGACGGUACCUCUUGAAUAGCACCGGCUAACUCCGUGCCAGCAGCCGCGGUAAUACGGAGGGUGCAAGCGUUAUCCGGAAUCACUGGGCGUAAGGGCGCGUAGGCGGUCUGUUAAGUCCGAUGUUAAAUCCCGGGGCUCAACCCCGGAUAAGCGUUGGAUACUGGCAGGCUAGACGGUUGGAGAGGCGAGUGGAAUUACCAGUGUAGCGGUGGAAUGCGUAGAUACUGGUAGGAACACCCAUUGCGAAGGCAGCUCGCUGGACAACACGUGACGCUGAGGCGCGAAAGUGUGGGGAGCAAACC